CUUUAUAUACUGACUACCAUUUUCAUUUCUGCACGUGCAAAUCCUGCCUGAUAAGAUUUUCUAAGAUUUUCUUUUGAUUGAGGCAGAAAUUAAAGAGUGGAGAGAAGAAUGUGCCCAGAAGUCAUGAAGUCCCAGAAGCUGGUAUGCAAAGGAACAUAGCUGUGUGCUGGGGCCCUAGUGGGCGCCGAGUACUUGGCGGGGACCUGGGGCACAGCCACGAGCAGGAUGGUGACUGCCCGCGAGGAGCAGACAAGCUAGCGGGGAACAGAUGACAAAGUCAUGACACAGACGCACAUGUAAUUCAGGGAAGUUAUCUGAGAGCUGCUAGAAUCGAUCCUGAAGAACUACAUGUGGACAAUAACGCAAUUUCUGGAAUUUCUUGUUGAAAUGGAUUUUUUCUGAAUUUCCACCAAACAUCCUUAUGUUUAAGGCUCUCCCUAAUUAUUUGUGUGUCUAUUGCUUCGGGUGAGAAAGAACAUUUCCAAAUAAAAAUGAAUUGAAGAUAUUCUUUGGUUAAUUAUGAUCAAAGAUAAAUUGAUAAAUUUGAUCAAUCUGAGCUACUUCUUGAAUAUAAAAAUAUGCAAAGAUCAGGGGAGCCCAGGUGGCUCAGUCAGUUAAG